rfam:Treponema denticola ATCC 35405, complete genome.
GCGAACAGGAUGUUCGCUGAUUUAAUCUUACGAUGUUUUAGACGUAAGUCUAAAACUCGAAAGCUAAAAAAUGUACAGGAUGUACAUUUUUUAGCUCCC